rnacentral:lncRNA from 1 species
UAGGAUUUAAGAUUUGGUUAGGGUUUGAUUUAGGAUUUGGAUUAGGGUUUGAUUAAGGUUUGAUUUAAGGUUUGAUUUAGGAUUUAGGAUUUGGAUUAGAGUUUAGGGUUGGAUUAGGGUUUGGUUUAGGGUUUGAUUUAGGGUUUGGUUUAGGGUUUAGAGUUUGGAAUAGGGUUUAAUUUAAGAUUUGUUUAGGAUUUGACUUAGGAUUUAGGAAUUUUUAGGGUUUAAGAUUUAAUUAGGUUUGGUCUAAAGUUGAGUGAAAUUUAAUAGGGUUUUAACUAGAAUUAAAUUAAGGUUGAAUUGACAUAUAUUUGAGUAAAAUUUGUGAUCAUUCUAAUAUUUCUUUAAGAAUUUUAUUGUUUGUUUGAAAUUUCUUUGAGUUGUUUUGAAUUGGAUUACGUUUGUUUAUCAUUAUUAUAGUCUAAUUAGAGCAUUGUUAGUAUUCUAUUUAGGAUUUUGUUAUCGCAAUUUCUAUUCUUCCUUCUACAGCCAAGUACUCGGAGCAUUCUCAAGCAAGAUUUCACACAUUAUGACAGCGGAAACUAAUGAG